AAGAGCCGGAUGAUCGGGAAACUAUCAAGUCCGGUUCGGCCGACCUAUCUGCCUGGCUCACCGGCUACUGACGUAU
rnacentral:ncRNA from 1 species